rnacentral:rRNA from 1 species
GAACGGACGAGAAGCUUGCUUCUCUGAUGUUAGCGGCGGACGGGUGAGUAACACGUGGAUAACCUACCUAUAAGACUGGGAUAACUUCGGGAAACCGGAGCUAAUACCGGAUAAUAUUUUGAACCGCAUGGUUCAAAAGUGAAAGACGGUCUUGCUGUCACUUAUAGAUGGAUCCGCGCUGCAUUAGCUAGUUGGUAAGGUAACGGCUUACCAAGGCAACGAUGCAUAGCCGACCUGAGAGGGUGAUCGGCCACACUGGAACUGAGACACGGUCCAGACUCCUACGGGAGGCAGCAGUAGGGAAUCUUCCGCAAUGGGCGAAAGCCUGACGGAGCAACGCCGCGUGAGUGAUGAAGGUCUUCGGAUCGUAAAACUCUGUUAUUAGGGAAGAACAUAUGUGUAAGUAACUGUGCACAUCUUGACGGUACCUAAUCAGAAAGCCACGGCUAACUACGUGCCAGCAGCCGCGGUAAUACGUAGGUGGCAGGCGUUAUCCGGAAUUAUUGGGCGUAAAGCGCGCGUAGGCGGUUUUUUAAGUCUGAUGUGAAAGCCCACGGCUCAACCGUGGAGGGUCAUUGGAAACUGGAAAACUUGAGUACAGAAGAGGAAAGUGGAAUUCCAUGUGUAGCGGUGAAAUGCGCAGAGAUAUGGAGGAACACCAGUGGCGAAGGCGACUUUCUNGGUCUGUAACUGACGCUGAUGUGCGAAAGCGUGGGGAUCAAACAGGAUUA